UACGUAGGGUGCGAGCGUUAAUCGGAAUUACUGGGCGUAAAGCGUGCGCAGGCGGUUUUGUAAGCCAGGUGUGAAAUCCCCGGGCUCAACCUGGGAAUGGCAUUUGGGACUGCAAGGCUGGAGUGCGGCAGAGGAGACUGGAAUUCCGGGUGUAGCGGUGGAAUGCGUAGAGAUCCGGAAGAACACCGGUGGCGAAGGCGGUCUGCUGGGCAGUAGCUGACGCUGAUGCGCGACAGCGUGGGGAGCAAACAGG
rnacentral:rRNA from 1 species